GACGUAGGGCGCGAGCGUUGUCCGGAUUUAUUGGGCGUAAAGAGCUCGUAGGCGGCUUGUCGCGUCGUCCGUGAAAACCCACAGCUCAACUGUGGGCUUGCGGUCGAUACGGGCAGGCUAGAGUUCGGUAGGGGAGACUGGAAUUCCGGGUGUAGCGGUGGAAUGCGUAGAGAUCCGGAGGAAUACCUGAGGCGAAGGCGGCCAGCUGGGCCUGAUCUGACGCUGAGGUGCGAAAGCGUGGGGAGCGAACAGG
rnacentral:rRNA from 1 species